UGGGGAAUUUUGGACAAUGGGCGAAAGCCUGAUCCAGCAAUGCCGCGUGUGCGAAGAAGGCCUUCGGGUUGUAAAGCACUUUUGUCCGGAAAGAAAUCCUUGGCUCUAAUACAGUCGGGGGAUGACGGUACCGGAAGAAUAAGCACCGGCUAACUACGUGCCAGCAGCCGCGGUAAUACGUAGGGUGCAAGCGUUAAUCGGAAUUACUGGGCGUAAAGCGUGCGCAGGCGGUUUGCUAAGACCGAUGUGAAAUCCCCGGGCUCAACCUGGGAACUGCAUUGGUGACUGGCAGGCUAGAGUAUGGCAGAGGGGGGUAGAAUUCCACGUGUAGCAGUGAAAUGCGUAGAGAUGUGGAGGAAUACCGAUGGCGAAGGCAGCCCCCUGGGCCAAUACUGACGCUCAUGCACGAAAGCGUGGGGAGCAAACAGGAUUAGAUACCCUGGUAGUCCACGCCCUAAAACGAUGUCAACUAGUUGUUGGGGAUUCAUUUCCUUAGUAACGUAGCUAACGCGUGAAGUUGACCGCCUGGGGAGUACGGUCGCAAGAUUAAAACUCAAGGAAUUGACGGGGUCAUAGCUGUUUCCU
rnacentral:rRNA from 1 species